AGGGAGGAGCCUAAAAUCAGGAAUAAUAAAAUAAAAUGGGACAUACGAGAAGAACAUAAUGUUGAGAAAGCAUCCAGACUGGAAAUGCAGCAAAUCACCAUGGACAUGAAUUUAAUGCCUUAUGCUUACACCUGAUAGGAGAAAGUGGCAAUAUUUGUGUUAUAGGGAAGAGCAACAAUAUAUGAGAUGCCCAUACCUCGCUUAACAUUGUACUCUGAGAAGGAUAGCGACACAACAAGGCGCAUCAGGAAACGGGCGGAUACUGCCAAGGAAAGUAGGUGAGAAAGUCAGACGAAGACAGGCGUAUGUCAUAAUCAUCAAACCCGAACGAGAUCGAAUCCGACCCAACAACCAGACAACCAGGAUCUGACCCGAUAUACUAACCUGAGCCACGUAAAACUCUAUAAAUACUUCCCAUCCUCAAACGUUAAAGGAAAUUUGAUUCCACUCUCUUGAUUCACCCUUCUUGACUCAUAUUAUCACAUAUAUAUAUUUGUGAGGAAGUAGAGUACUUCUAUACACUUAACACUUCUUAUUUAUGAGAUCUCAAGUCUCUUCUCCGGCCAAAUUCUGAUCAUCUUCAUGGCGGAUUCCUAACUUUCAUAUUAACAUAUAGAUCACUGUGAGACUAAGGAGCUUUAGAGAUAUUUUCUUCUAAACACUCAGCUUUCCUCACUUCCGAGACUAAGUCUCAUUUUCUCAUGGGUCACCUUCAUGGUUGCUCAUAUGCCGUAAAGCUCAUCUAACCCCAAACUCUUACACUUUUUCUCUUUUCUACCUAAAAAAAUCCACUAAACUCAGGUCCGAAAAGACUCACCCUUUUUUAAGAGCUUUUGGCCGGCUUUCCUUUUCUGUUUUCUGAUCUUCUUUCCAUCUCUCCAAUUUGCCACUUAUGGUCAUUUCUUAAACUGUUUUUGACUUGAACUUCGGAGAGACAUCGGAAAACACCAUUCCAUCGUGUUUUCCGGGCUUUCACGUCUUUUCAGAGCAUACUUAAAACAUAACUAAUUGGCUGCCUACGCCAUACGCAGACACAAAUGUUUUAACUACUUUUAAAUAUAAAAUGGCUAUUUAUAUGAAAAAUACAUAAUUAUAAUUACAUAUUGAAUUUAUUGAUAAUUAAAUUAUACAAUUAUAUGUUAAAAUUUCAAUAUUUUGUAGAUUUUUAAAUGAUGAUUUUUUAAAAAACUUAUAUCACAUGUUCCUAAACAAUAAUAAUUUUAAUAUUCUGUAAAAAGACUAUAAACAUUCGCUAUAAUAAAUUAUUGAUCUAAUAGGAGUAAUUUUUUAAAUACAUAUAUCACAUUUUCUUAAACAAUAAUAAUUUUAAACAUAUAUUAAAUAUAUCAUCAAUUUGCAGAUAAAAUUAGAGAAUACGUCAUUAAUCCUUGGAACCUUCUCUCGCAACAUCCCCACACACACUAGACCUGAAAUGAGUUUGGACCGUUUUACUCCAUACCCAGUUAUGAUCUACGACUGGGUAUUUUAAUUGUUAAAGGGGAAAAUUUCUUUUUUAUUUAUUUAUUAAAUUUCCUGUUAACUCACAGAAUAGUUAAAUAAAAAAUACCAAUUAAAAAUUUCGUUUAAGGAAAGUAAGAAUUGUCUUCUAAGUCGUUGGCUAAGAUUCAUCAAUUUUUUAUAGGACUGACAAUAAAGGAUGCUAAAAGCUCUAUCACUUCUAAUACACAACAAUAUGAUUUGCAAAACUCUAAUUCAGCUUCUAAAAACGGAAAACUAAUUUUAAAAGUAAUUAAUAUGUUGUCUACAAAAAAUUAAUUUGAUUACCUAUAACUAUAUUACCGAUAAAUUUCUAGAAGCUAAAGCAACUGAUCCUAUAUACACUUCAGAAGGAGGGAAAAGUAAUCACAAACCUUAAAAAUGAUUGGACGUGGAUAGUUCGUUCUUCAUCCGAAUUGAUUCCGCCGGGGAUUGCAUAUUUCGUUUAUAUAGUGGAGGAUGAAAGGGUGGUGCAAUUUGAAGACCCAUUACAUUUCUCUGCAGUUUCGAUUUAGACAUAGUGGCAUUUACAGUAAAAGAAGGUGGAGAAUUGAUAUAGUGUACGUGGUGUGAUUUAAGGCUACCAUGUUUUUGUA
rnacentral:lncRNA from 1 species